AAAAAGUUUGUUCAGGUAUUUACAUCAGAUGUUAUGACAACCCUGAAUGAACUUUUUGG
ensembl:miRNA